AACAUCAAAUAAAUGGCCAAGAAAAUUAUGGAAGGUUGGAAAUAAAAUAAGAAGCAUAUAAUAAAAUUUUCAAAUUUUCAAAAUGCAUAAAAGUAUUUUUAAACCAAUUAAAACAAAGGAGAAAAGAGAAAAUUCAUGAAAAAUAGGAAAUCAGUGAAAUAAAAUGUGAAAAAAUAAAAAUCAGAUGAAGAAAAAUAAAA
rnacentral:lncRNA from 1 species